UUAAUUGAAGAGUUUGAUCAUGGCUCAGAUUGAACGCUGGCGGCAGGCCUAACACAUGCAAGUCGAACGGUAGCAGGAUGUGCUUGCACAUCGCUGACGAGUGGCGGACGGGUGAGUAAUGCUUGGGAACUUGCCUUUGCGAGGGGGAUAACAGUUGGAAACGACUGCUAAUACCGCAUAAUGUCUACGGACCAAACGGGGCUUCGGCUCCGGCGCAAAGAGAGGCCCAAGUGAGAUUAGCUAGUUGGUGAGGUAAAGGCUCACCAAGGCGACGAUCUCUAGCUGUUCUGAGAGGAAGAUCAGCCACACUGGGACUGAGACACGGCCCAGACUCCUACGGGAGGCAGCAGUGGGGAAUAUUGCACAAUGGGGGAAACCCUGAUGCAGCCAUGCCGCGUGUGUGAAGAAGGCCUUCGGGUUGUAAAGCACUUUCAGUUGUGAGGAAAGGUUGGUAGUUAAUACCUGCCAGCUGUGACGUUAACAACAGAAGAAGCACCGGCUAACUCCGUGCCAGCAGCCGCGGUAAUACGGAGGGUGCGAGCGUUAAUCGGAAUUACUGGGCGUAAAGCGCACGCAGGCGGUUUGUUAAGCUAGAUGUGAAAGCCCCGGGCUCAACCUGGGAUGGUCAUUUAGAACUGGCAGACUAGAGUCUUGGAGAGGGGAGUGGAAUUCCAGGUGUAGCGGUGAAAUGCGUAGAUAUCUGGAGGAACAUCAGUGGCGAAGGCGACUCCCUGGCCAAAGACUGACGCUCAUGUGCGAAAGUGUGGGUAGCGAACAGGAUUAGAUACCCUGGUAGUCCACACCGUAAACGCUGUCUACUAGCUGUGCGUGAAUUUAAUU
rnacentral:rRNA from 1 species